AUACUUACCUGGCGUAGAGAUAACCGUGAUCAUCAAGGCGGUUUCUCCGAGGUGAGACCCGUCCAUUGCACUACGGACGGGUUGACCCUUGCGAAUAUCCCUAAUGUGGAUAUCUCGGACGUAUUAUUUUUGGUAGCUGGGACUGCGUUCGCGCUAUCCCGA
rnacentral:snRNA from 1 species